rnacentral:rRNA from 1 species
UACGUAGGGGGCAAGCGUUGUCCGGAUUUAUUGGGCGUAAAGAGCGUGUAGGCGGCCAGGUAGGUCCGUUGUGAAAACUCGAGGCUCAACCUCGAGACGCCGAUGGAAACCAUCUGGCUAGAGUCCGGAAGAGGAGAGUGGAAUUCCCGGUGUAGCGGUGAAAUGCGCAGAUAUCGGGAGGAACACCGGUGGCGAAGGCGGGUCUCUGGGCCGUAACUGACGCUGAGGAGCGAAAGCGUGGGGAGCGAACAGG